AUUGAACGCUGGCGGCAGGCCUAACACAUGCAAGUCGAGCGGAAGAAGACUUCGGUCUUCGAGAGCGGCGGACGGGUGAGUAACGCGUGGGAAUCUGGCUCUUAGAGGGGGACAACUUGUGGAAACGCAAGCUAAUACCGCAUACGCCCUAAGGGGGAAAGCAGGGGAUCUUCGGACCUUGCGCUAAGAGGUGAGCCCGCGUCGGAUUAGCUAGUUGGUGGGGUAAAGGCCUACCAAGGCGACGAUCCGUAACUGGUCUGAGAGGAUGAUCAGUCACACUGGAACUGAGACACGGUCCAGACUCUUACGGGAGGCAGCAGUGGGGAAUAUUGGACAAUGGGGGCAACCCUGAUCCAGCCAUGCCGCGUGUGUGAAGAAGGCCUUCGGGUUGUAAAGCACUUUAAGUUGGGAGGAAAGGGUUGUGGCUAAUAUCCAUAAUCUAUGACGUUACCAACAGAAUAAGCACCGGCUAACUCCGUGCCAGCCGCCGCGGUAA
rnacentral:rRNA from 1 species